GACGUAGGAUGCAAGCGUUGUCCGGAAUUAUUGGGCGUAAAGAGUUCGUAGGCGGUUGCCUAAGUCUGAUGUUAAAUACUGGCGCUUAACGCCAGCAUGGCAUUGGAAACUGGGCAGCUAGAGUGCGGUAGAGGUCUCGGGAAUUCCAGGUGUAGCGGUGAAAUGCGUAGAUAUCUGGAGGAACACCGGUGGCGAAAGCGCGAGACUGGGCCGUAACUGACGCUGAGGAACGAAAGCCAAGGGGAGCGAAAGGG
rnacentral:rRNA from 1 species